UAAAAUCUUAGUGGCGACGGGUGAGUAACGCGUGGGUAACCUGCCUUACACUGGGGGAUAACACUUAGAAAUAGGUGCUAAUACCGCAUAAGCGCACGAAGCCGCAUGGAUUUGUGUGAAAAACUCCGGUGGUGUAAGAUGGACCCGCGUCUGAUUAGCUUGUUGCGGGGUAACGGCCCACCAAGGCGACGAUCAGUAGCCGGCCUGAGAGGGUGGACGGCCACAUUGGGACUGAGACACGGCCCAAACUCCUACGGAAGGCAGCAG
rnacentral:rRNA from 1 species